rnacentral:misc_RNA from 1 species
AUAUUUGAGUUGGGAUUAUUCUUGUGGUAUUCGAUUCGGUUCUUUUUUGUGUCUUUUAGUUAUUAAAAAUCCCAGGAAUAACCCUGACACAAAUAUGAACACUUUUUAUUCUCUCUAUAUUCUUUUUAACUAAAGAUAUAAGGAGCAAGAUGAUAUAUUUAAAACCCAACUCUUUAAAUGUUUUUAUAACUAUUGUGUAUUUAAAUAAAAAAGA